rnacentral:rRNA from 1 species
CGGGGGGGGCAAGCGUUGUUCGGAAUUACUGGGCGUAAAGGGCUCGUAGGUGGCCAACUAAGUCGGACGUGAAAUCCCUCGGCUUAACCGGGGAACUGCGUCCGAUACUGGUUGGCUUGAGUUUGGGAGAGGGAUGCGGAAUUCCAGGUGUAGCGGUGAAAUGCGUAGAUAUCUGGAGGAACACCGGUGGCGAAGGCGGCAUCCUGGACCAAUACUGACGCUGAGGAGCGAAAGCCAGGGGAGCAAACGGGAUUAGAUACCCCAGUAGUCCUGGCCCUAAACGAUGAAUGCUUGGUGUGGCGGGUAUCGAUCCCUGCCGUGCCGAAGCUAACGCAUUAAGCAUUCCGCCUGGGGAGUACGGUCGCAAGGCUG